CCUUAUCGAUAAACAAUUGGAGGGCAAGUCUGGUGCCAGCAGCCGCGGUAAUUCCAGCUCCAAUAGCGUAUAUUAACGUUGUUGCAGUUAAAAAGCUCGUAGUUGAAAUGAAGGGUAGUUGUGUAAUGAAUACAUUCGUGUAUUUUGUUAUUCAAGUACCCUCCUUCUAAAUUCGAUAUAUGAGUAUUAAUUUACUUGUAUAUGGUUUUAGACGUUUACUGUGAGAAAAUUAGAGUGUUCAAAGCAGGCAUUUGCUUGAAUAUAUUAGCAUGGAAUAAUCAUGUAUGAUUUUCAUGAUGUAUUUGAUUGGUUUGGUUCAUGAGAAUAAGAUUAAAAGGGACAGUUGGGGGUAUUCAUAUUCAAUAGUCAGAGGUGAAAUUCUCGGAUUUAUGGAAGAUGAACAAGUGCGAAAGCAA
rnacentral:rRNA from 1 species